UACGUAGGGUGCGAGCGUUAAUCGGAAUUACUGGGCGUAAAGCGUGCGCAGGCGGUCUUGCAAGACAGAUGUGAAAUCCCCGGGCUUAACCUGGGAACUGCAUUUGUGACUGCAAGGCUGGAGUGCGGCAGAGGGGGAUGGAAUUCCGCGUGUAGCAGUGAAAUGCGUAGAGAUGCGGAGGAACACCGAUGGCGAAGGCAGCCCCCUGGGCCAACACUGACGCUCAGGCACGAAAGCGUGGGGAGCAAACAGG
rnacentral:rRNA from 1 species